rnacentral:rRNA from 1 species
CCUACGGGUGGCAGCAGUGAGGAAUAUUGGUCAAUGGCCGGAAGGCUGAACCAGCCAUGCCGCGUGAAGGUCAGUGCCCUAUGGGCGUUAAACUUCUUUUGUGCGGGAGCAAUAAUUGUCACGGUGUGCCAGACGGGAGUACCGUACGAAUAAGCAUAGGCUAAUUCCGUGCCAGCGGCCGCGGUAAUACGGGGGAUGCAAGCGUUAUACGGAUUUAUUGGGGUUAAAGGGUGCGUAGGCUGUGAGGUAAGUCAGCGGUGCAAUGCCCCCGCUCAACGGGGUGAAGUGCCAUUGAUACUGGCUUGCUGGAAUGCGGAUGCCGUGAGAGGAAUGUGUGGUGUAGCGGUGAAAUGCAUCGCUAUCACACAGAACACCGAUUGUGAAGGCAUCUCACGAAUCUGCGAUUGACGCUGAUGCACGAAAGUGUGGGUAUCAAACAGGAUUAGAGAUAGUC